UACGGGGGGGGCAAGCGUUGUUCGGAAUUACUGGGCGUAAAGGGCGCGUAGGCGGCCGCCUAAGUCAGACGUGAAAUCCCUCGGCUCAACCGGGGAACUGCGUCUGAUACUGGGUGGCUUGAAUCCGGGAGAGGGAUGCGGAAUUCCAGGUGUAGCGGUGAAAUGCGUAGAUAUCUGGAGGAACACCGGUGGCGAAGGCGGCAUCCUGGACCGGCAUUGACGCUGAGGCGCGAAAGCGUGGGGAGCAAACAGG
rnacentral:rRNA from 1 species